rnacentral:rRNA from 1 species
UGCCAGCCGCCGCGGUAAUACGGAGGGUCCAAGCGUUAAUCGGAAUUACUGGGCGUAAAGCGCGCGUAGGCGGUUUAGCAAGUUGUAUGUGAAAGCCCUGGGCUCAACCUAGGAACUGCAUUCGAUACUGGCAGACUAGAGUGCGGGAGAGGGAGGUAGAAUUCCAUGUGUAGCGGUGAAAUGCGUAGAUAUGUGGAGGAAUACCAGUGGCGAAGGCGGCUCUCUGGCUGGUUACUGACACUCAUGUGCGAAAGCGUGGGUAGCGAACAGGAUUAGAUA